UAUAUAUACAGCCACAAAAAGGUCAAAAAGCAAUACCAACAAACUAUUACAUAAUGAAGUUGUCUAUCGAGUCCAGGCUCUUGAUUACUCUUGCUUCUUGUAUGCUCUUGAUCUUUAGUAUUAUUUUGGCUUCUGCAAAUGUGUCAGUUAGUCAGAGGGGUCCUGCAGUUCGAGAUCCUGGACCUGAUCCUUCUAAUGGUAGGAGGUUACUGUUUGAGAACGCUAUGUUAGUUUAGUACCAAUAAUCUUCAGGAAAUCAAGAGGGACUAAAAUAAAAUCAUAAUUACAAUAGCUAGAUUAUGGUAGUCUUGGAAAAUGUUGUAUUUUUCUGUACUAUUAUCCUCUAUCCUUAUGGAAUUUCUCUUUCUCUAUGUUUUAUCAUUUGUGUAUUCAGUUGUGAUUUCUCAUUGUUCCAUGUUA